AGUGAACGCUGGCGGUAGGCCUAACACAUGCAAGUCGAACGGCAGCACUGUAAGAGCUUGCUCUUACGGGUGGCGAGUGGCGGACGGGUGAGGAAUACAUCGGAAUCUACUUUUUCGUGGGGGAUAACGUAGGGAAACUUACGCUAAUACCGCAUACGACCUACGGGUGAAAGCAGGGGAUCUUCGGACCUUGCGCGAUUGAAUGAGCCGAUGUCGGAUUAGCUGGUUGGCGGGGUAAAGGCCCACCAAGGCGACGAUCCGUAGCUGGUCUGAGAGGAUGAUCAGCCACACUGGAACUGAGACACGGUCCAGACUCCUACGGGAGGCAGCAGUGGGGAAUAUUGGACAAUGGGCGCAAGCCUGAUCCAGCCAUACCGCGUGGGUGAAGAAGGCCUUCGGGUUGUAAAGCCCUUUUGUUGGGAAAGAAAAGCAGCAGGUUAAUACCCCGCUGUUCUGACGGUACCCAAAGAAUAAGCACCGGCUAACUUCGUG
rnacentral:rRNA from 1 species